UCGGGGUAUAGCGCAGCUUGGCUAGCGCGGCUGGUUUGGGACCAGUAGGUCGGGGGUUCAAAUCCCUCUACCCCGAUCCA
rnacentral:tRNA from 1 species